rnacentral:rRNA from 1 species
AUUGAACGCUGGCGGCGGGCCUAACACAUGCAAGUCGAGCGGAUGAAGGGAGCUUGCUCCUGGAUUCAGCGGCGGACGGGUGUGUAAUGCCUAGGAAUCUGCCUGGUAGUGGGGGAUAACGUCCGGAAACGGGCGCUACUACCGCAUACGUCCUGAGGGAGCAAGAGGGUGAUCUUCGGACCUCUCGCUCUCAGAUGAGCCUAGGUCGGAUUAGCUAGUUGGUGGGGUAAGGGCCUACCAAGGCGACGAUCCGUAGCUGGUCUGAGAGGAGGAUAGGUCACACUGGAACGGGGACACGGUCCAGACGCCUGCGGGAGGCAGCAGUGGGGAAUAGUGGACAAUGGGGGAAAGCCUUGUCCAGCCAUGCCGCGUGUGUGAAGGAGGUCUUGGGAUCGUGAAGACCGUUUAGUGGGGAGGAAGGGCAGUAGGUUAAUACCUAGCGGUAUUGACGGUACCGAGAGAAGAAGCACCGGCUAACUUCGUG